rnacentral:lncRNA from 1 species
ACAUCUUUUCAGCCUUAAUUUCUGCACGAAAAGCUCUAUUUCCUCCUGAAAAGUUCAAAUUCCAGAAAUCCUGAAAAAACUUCAAAACCUCUCAUUUCCUGAUUAAAAGUAUGGCUUGAAGUGGAAGAUUACCCUAUUUUCCGUUAGCUGGUUUUUCUAGUUUCAAAUCUAUUCUCAUUUAGUUUGGGUUCAUUACUGUUUUGCUGGUUUUUCUCCUUAAGUUUGGCUCCCUUUUCCUGUUUGAUUUUCUUGAUCGUUAUUUUGUCAUUCAUGUGUUAUACUGUUCAGUUUCAAGGUAUGUACAUUGUUCACUUUGAAUGGAAUCAAUUGGGAGGUUAAUAUUUAUAUUUUUAAUUUGUUUGUUUAGCUGAUAAGUUAUGUUAGUUCUAAAAUUAUGACUUGCUUAAGUGGUUGUACGAUUCAAUGGUAUAAGUCAAUAUAUGUUGUAUAUGCAUUUCAGCAAUAUGAAAAUGUUCUAUGUGAAUUGAGCUCUCAGCAUGUAUACCUUUUCUAACCAAGUAUUAGUCAUAUGCAUCAGAAUUCUACAUGAGCUUCAAUUAUUCCAUACUAUUUGAUAAAAUGUCCAAUAGGUAUCUUUGAAGGUCAGAACUUGUGAAUCCAGCCACCUAUUGGUUUGGUUUACGAUUCAAGACAUUGAGCAAGUUAUGUCUCGUGGAUUAUUUUUUUGAUUUUGGACCUGUUAUUUGUCUACUUUUGGUUUCCUUUUGUUACAUAAUAGUAUGUAUAAUAAGUAAUAAAGAAUAUGUGUAAUUAUGUUUUUUGGAAAACAUGAUUAUGUGUAACAAUAUGAAUAUGUGUAUCACAUUGAUGUAAAGUUUCUUUGCCUAAAGCUGAAGGAGCUUAACAAGUCGGGCUUAAUGUUGGCCAAAAUGAGGGAUCCUUGGUUGAAAUUGCCUUUGUGUGGUUCCUGGGCUUCCAUAUUCUAUGAAACUCAAUUGGUUCCCAAUCCAUACUGCAUAUAACUAUUAUCGAGACUAGUUAUUUCAUCAGAAUAAUUAGUUUAGACUCAGUAGUUAAGUAAUUUGUAUACUCGAAAUAGCUAUGUGUACAUUUAGUUUUAAUCUAGC